UUCUUCGAAUUAAGGAUCAGCUGAGCACAUAAAACUCACUGAAGUAGAUGAAAAAUUCUAGGGCUACAAGCCGCGUCAGGUGUUACAAAGUUUUACAUUCACGCAUGUCGAUAUGAUGUGUUGGUCUCGACACCUAAGCAUAAAAGCCAGCGAGCUGAACGGUCCUGACUUCUUCUUCCGGAGUUUUUCCAGGCGCCAACUAUCCAGUACUGUCUUUUCCCCGUAAAGGUUUCUGAUGUUGAGGCAAGCUUUCGCGACGACUGAAGUUGAUGAAAGAUUCUUGGGCUUGUAGCCCGAAAAUUUUACAUCAACAUAAAACCCAGUCAUAUGCUAUUGGUGGGGGACGCAGCUCUGUUGUGUUGAGUCCUGUGAGCGAUUCACAGGUAAACACAACGGCGACAUGACAGUUGCCCAGUCGCAACUGAUACAGAAGUUUUGAAGCAGAGCAGCAGAAAAAUAAAUAAUGAAACAAUCAUGCAAUUUCAGUUUCUAUUAAGAAGUGACACUUUGGAAUCUGUUUACAAAAACAACGAUACCAAUAAGAAGAACAGAAAUAACUUAUAAACAUAAAGGAGUAUAUAUACAGGCGUACGUGCCCUCAUUUCUCUGCGUGUUGUUCCCAACAAC